AAAAAAUUUUUUUUCUGAAGAUGACCGUGUUGAUCAAACCAAUAUUCUUUAUUGUUCACUAAAAAGAAUAUCAAAAGAAGUAUUUAGUAGUAGCUAAAAUGUAUUAACUUUUUACUUUAGAAUGUCUCGCAAUUGACUUUGAUUAGACACUGUUUAGGUGGGACGCAACAAUUGUUGGAUGGCGAGGUCUCUUAGAUGGAAGCCCGCAUUUAUAUAGUUUUAGACUAUUUAUUUGCCUUUUCCUUUGUGACGAAUUCAGAUAGCUUUCCUUACUGAUAAGAAUGCGAUACCCGUUCCAUACGGCGCAACGUUAAAAUAGGCGACUAGCAGUGUAAAGUCCGAUACCUAGACGAAAGCAAUCGUAAGCUAAAGGUGUCGACAGUACCUCAGUUUGGCUGGCUAUCUUAGUAUUGCUUACAAGCCCAUCAUACCAUAUGAAAGUAAGCUUACGUUCGUUUGAUUAAUAAACAAUGUGAUGUCAAAAGCUGUAACGGCCGUUCUUGUAUGAGAGAGAAGCUAGCAGAACAAAAAAGGGAGACUUCGCACAUUGAAUUCAAACAGUUGACAUCACAAAUGAAAAGAGCGACUGUGUUUAAUAAGCGUUUCAAAUAUUCCAUUGGGAUUUACUAAGGAUUAGGAUUUAGAAGAAAGGUUUAACAAAGGGUUGAAAGUUUCAUGAUAGCAAAGUGUGUCGCAUGUAAACAAAAGAACAUUCAUUUGAAAUCAUAGCUAUAUCCAUUAGCUAGCUAAUUAAUUAGUAAGUUGGUUAGUAAUUUAAAUAAUUAAUUUUCAUCAUAAUGUAUAGAAAAACAACGUAAAAUUCAGGGAACUAUUUCUAAGUCAUCCUCAUCAUCACUCUCAGUAAAUUCAUAUCGGAAUUUGAUAUUUUUUAGGGAGCCGGAUCGUGAAAGUCCAGUCGCUGUGGAGUGCGUUGUAGAUGCAUCUGCGGAAUGCGUUGGAUCGAAACCUAUUUUUCGUAGACUUUGGGGGGAAAAAAUCCUCGGCGAAGAGGUAAACACUACCGCUGGGGAAACUUUGGUGGAUGUAGUAUCUUGUGGAACGGGUGUCCCUGAUGCCGCAUCGUUAGUGCCGAGAAUAGCAGAGUUAGAAAAAGAUGGUAGAGAGGAUUUAGGGUUCAUUAUAGAUGCAUUAAAAGAGGCCAGAACGGAUGGUUUUUUCGUCGAUGAAUCAAUUUCGCUAUCUUUAGAAAGAGCAGUGGGAUUACCCUUGUCAUGUAAAUUUUUAACGCCGGAACCUUGUAAAUUUAGAUACUGAUGGCCGAGUGUUCGCAUCGACAUUCCCGUAGAGAGGUUAUUCGAGUUAGAGCUAGACGAAGAGGAAGCGCAACAUCGCUUCGAUAAUCGCACCAAAAUUUCACGCUCGCGUUCAGCCUGCGCUCGUUGUUUUUUGUAUCGUUCCUUGCGCUCCCUCUCGGUCUGAACGGCGUCUUCUGCAUCAUACAAACCAGCUACUGCGUUAGGAAUUGCGGAAUACUUUUCCCCAGCAAAGUAUCCUUGGAACCCUUGUCCACGAAAUCGCUUUUCACGUCGUGCGCGAGGCUCGUGCAUAGUCGCCAUACUUGAAGCAAACUCCGUUCGCGUAGACAUGGACCGCUGGACAGCGAGGUCAACGUGAUAUUCACAUACAUCUCCGGCACGCUUGUCGAGCCAAUGUUUACAUAGUUCACCGCUUUUUCUUCGGCUGGAACAAUAGCCAAGGUGUUUGGAGCGACCAAUCUCUAAAAGUACAUCGUACUCAGAAUCCAGCUUCAGAGAAAAGCGUCCAAUGUCUGGGUUCUUUGGCUUUAGUACUUCAGGAUUGAGAAGCGCAAUGACAGUACCACUCUGGAUCUUCCAGUAUCGUUCAAACGCCUUUCCAAACAGGAAGCACUCCAGUUGCCAUUUCAAGUCAGUCAGUGUUAGCAUACAAUAUUUAUUCCCAUUCACAGUUUCUCUGGUUCCACUAUUACUGGCAACAAUGCCCAUAACUACAUAGUUGUCAACUUCUGGCGCUUCAAAUUUAGGAGCUCUUACUAGUUUGAGUAGUUGGUGAAUGAGAUAAACUUGAUUUCCCCCUAUAUUUUCCUUAGCAACCUCAUCACUUAUGUAUCGAAUAACAAUGGCUUGUCUUGAAUAAGGAUCGAUUUCAUCACAUUUCAUAGGAAAUUUCUCCUCUUCACUUUUUCCAUCUUCAAGUAUGUUUCGCUUCCUCUGGAACGAUUGCUUUCUAUUUUUUUUCAUCGUUUUCAAUUUAUCGCUCCUCUUCCUUUCUUGGUUCCUUGCCUCUGCAAGUCGUUCGUGAAAUGGUUUUGGUAGAGGCCCUCGAGGCCCUUUUCCUAAUGAAACAUCUUUCCCCGUCUUUCCUUUAUCGAUUCCUAAUAUCAAUCGCUUGGGACUUUUUAGUUUACUAGGCGAGCUGACUGUAAGGACACGAACUUGCUGAGGAGGAGAUCUUGGAACCUGAAUAACUUCAGCGUUCUCCGAAGAAGCCUCCUUUUGAGCACUUCGUAGACGCUUCUUUUCUUGAAUUUCAUUUAGCUGCCUCUGUAACCUCUUUUCUUCCAGGUCCAAGUCAUUUUCUUCUGCAAUGAAGGGAUCAUGCAUACUUGCAUUAAUUAAACUUGGUUUCCUCUUAAUCUUAAACCUCCAAAGUCAAUGAUAAAAAAAACCCCCCGCCUGUUAGAUAUAGUCAAUUUCUCACGAAUACUGAAACUUUUCAACCCAACCCUAGAAAACUAGCUUUUCAGGAAAUUAAAAAAACUCUGAUCAAUAAAAUUUUCUUCUCUAUUGUAUGAGUAGCCAAAACAAAUAACAGGAUAAAUUUAAUACUGCCACAUUUGUAUUUUGAAAUGCGAAGAUAUUGUUGAAAAGUUUAGUGCCAAAAACAGGAAAUUCUUUAGUCCUGGAAAAGGAAGCAAGUAAUAAUUAUAAAUCUUUUUAACAAGAUAUUCUUAUUUUCCA